CUCAUGGAAUUCUGUCAGAUCAAACCCUAAUUCUAGGUGUUGGUUGCAUAUUGGUCCUUUCUCUUGUUUAUUUGAUAAUUAAAAUUGAUACUUAAGAACCGUCAACAAAUACCCCCAUACUUAGGCUUUUACUCGUCCUCGAGAAAAGGAUGGUUAAGAACAAUAUCUGAGGUAAAACAUUUUAAAGCAUUCUUUAUAUUUGCAGGGUGUUAAAAAUCCACUGUGUAUUAUAGUCAGGGAUGUUUAUGGUUAAGAGUAAAGAUCCUUUCUUCUCAAUCCUGUCACUUGGAGUUUUUGUAUAAUUUUUGAAAGAAAGUUAUCAUACCUUUUAUCCUCAUAGGUUCUCUCAGAUCACUCAUUAUCUUUUAUAUAUCUCACUGAGGUUGUUUUAUUUUGCAAAAAAUCUCAAGCAUACUUACUUUGCAUUUAUUGCCUGAUCAAAAUGGGAUCCGAGGAGGGGAAUGUCAUACUCUUAGAUCAAAGACUUUGAAAAUUAAAAUCUUUGUCAACUCUUGCUGGCAUAUUGCUUAUUAGAGGGACCAUGGGCUAUCAUUUUUUUCUCUUUUUCUCUCUUUUUUUUAAGUGGAUACCGAGGUACCCCUAAUUCUACUGCCGGACACUUGUCCAUUUUUCUGCGAGGUUGUCGAGCACUUGCUCCUUUUUAUUUCCUCGAAAUAUCUCUAUUUUUGCAUAGCCCAUGCCUCUAAUGCAAUAAUACUUCAGAAGAGUGAAUCUUUCUGAAUAAAUGUCUUGAUCUUAGGAGCAUGAUAAAUCUCUCAACAAGGGUCUAACUCAUUUUGAACAAACUCAAUACAGAGGAGAUAGCUUUUAUAAUCAUAAUUAAUAUUUUCAGUUUUAUCAGGCAUAUAAAACACUGAGGAUGGUAGCUAGAAUUUUGAAUAUUUUGAAAUAAAUUCUCCAAGUAGCAAUGAUAUCAAAAAUAAGAAACUCAUACUCUAACAUCACAUAUUCCAUAUUGACUUAAGUAACACAGGUUUUAAAAUGAUUUUAUAAUAGUUGCAAGUUUUCAGGAAAUAUCACAGAUUGAGAUUAAUCAUGAUUAGAAAUAUUUUAAUCUUUUUAUUUUAUCAUGUCAGAAAUAGUAAUCUGCAUAAUCAAGAUAUUUGUAUGUGUAAAGUAAAGGGUGCAGAGUGUGUACCUGAAUCGUGGAGUGGUGUAGUCGGAGUGUGUUUAGCAUGUCGAGGGAUCUCCCCAUACUUGUUUUCUGCUUUCUUGCACACAAAAAUAAAGUAGAGACACACAAGACAUAAUAAUAAUACUCUUUAUUAAUCUUGAGGCAUUUAUUACAAAAUACUAGUAGCAAACUGAUAGCAAACUGCUAAUAAUAAACCGAUGAUAAUAGUAAACCUAAACCGAAUUUAAAGAUAGAUAACUAAGAUGCAUUGCCUCAAGGUCUAAUCUAGAUAACUUAGCGGCGCUCUAAUUCCCUAAUCUUCUUGUUGGCACUGGCAAGAUCCUGCUUAAGUCCUAGUAUAAUGGUGUUGUGG
rnacentral:lncRNA from 1 species